CCUCGGAGGGUCUACCUCUUAGCUGGCGUGGUCUUCACAGACCAGGACGGACUCGGGACUGGGAACCAGACCCCACCUCCACCAUCUCUAAGGAGGAAGGGGUUGGAAAAUUAAGAUCAGAGACAGCGGCAUUUUGGACGUCACGCCUGCCACUCAGGCCUGCCCUCGAGAAAUGGGGCCAGUCGGAUGAAGACACAACUCUCAACUGCCGGGAUUCUGAGCUUUAUCCAUGUGACAGUUGCUGCCCUCUCUUCCAGGGCUGCUGAAGGCCAUGAAGCAGGUCUGAGGCUUCUGAGCAAUCGGGUCUCACUAUCCUGCCCAGGCUGGUCUCAAACUCCUAGCUUCAAGUGUCUCCUACCUCAGCCUCUCAAAGUGCCAGGAUUAUAGGAAUGAACCACCAUGCCCAACCUAUGAGGACACUGGGUCCCAAAGAGGUCACACAGAGAAUGGUGCGCUCAGAAUUCCAGCUGACGUCUGUCUACGUCCGGAACACACCACCUUCCCAGAGCCCCUAUAUGACCUGGGGCCACA